AAAAACAUCUUUUCUUGUUAGUUUUUGAAGUAUGGCCUGCCCACUGACUUGAAGUUGAAGGGCCGCGGUAUUUUGACCGUGCAAAGGUAGCAUAAUCAUUAGUUCUUUAAUUGUGAUCUGGUAUGAAUGGCUUGACGAGACAUAAGCUGUCUUAGAAGUAUUGGUUUAUUGAAUUUGGUUUUUGAGUUAAAAUUCUUAAAUGUUUUUAUGGGACGAGAAGACCCUAUAGAGUUUAACAAUUUUCUUAUUUAUUCGUUGUUUGUAUUUAUUUACAUUGAGUGGGAGUAAUUGUUUUGUUGGGGUGAUGGGAGGAAUAUUAUCUAACUCCUCUUUGUUUUUGUAUAUUUAUGUAUAUUUUUUUGAUCCAUUUAUUUUGAUUAUAAGAUUAAAUUACC
rnacentral:rRNA from 1 species